rnacentral:lncRNA from 10 species
AGGAGCCUGCCCUCUUGAGCUCUUGUGGUGACCUGGGAAUCAAUGUGUGAGGUGGUGCUAUGUAGCAGGAACCCCUCUUGCUUUGCAAAUAGUUUUUUGUUUGUUUUCCUUUUUGCCCAAUAGAGCCCUGCUCUACUGACCCUUCAAUGUGCCCGUGUGCCUAAAUAUUCCUGGUCGUGUGAAAAGAACCCAGGUAUUAGCUGAACUAAGGAGCACAAUUCUGCAACAUUUUGGCACCCAAACACGGGGCUUGAGAAAUGAAUGCAAUUGGAGAAACUGGUUGUUUUACCAGGCGUUGAUUGGAAAUGUGUGCUUCCCUUUAAGCAGUCAAGCUCAACUUGCAGAACUGAUGGGAACCCCUUGGGAAAACUGGCCUCAAAUGUUUGUCUACACAGUCCACAUACAGGGUUCUUAACCUGCGAUGAGGGAAACUUCCCAGGGCUUGUCUGGGUAUGCCCACAGUGGACUGGAGCCCAAAAUGCACACUGGAGGAAGUGGAUGGAGCCACGUGGAUGUCAUGCCUUAUGCAGGGGAGGAGCCUGCUCUCUUCAGCUCCUGUGGUAAUGUGGGAAUCGAUCUGUGAGGAAACACUUUCUGAAAAUGUCAGAACUCUUGAAAACAUGGAUGAGGAAAAGCAUAAGUACUGCUUUAUGCUUUUCUUAUGAAUUUUAAAAGAUGUAAUUUAAAGAUUGAAACUCCCACAACUUUGGCAGACCAACUCCUCAGAAAACAUUAUUCUUUGACAUCAAUAUGUUUUGCACAAAAUUGAAUGGCAAGUGAAAGGCAUCAAAUGCAUAUUUAACUAUCCGGCUAUUUUGGAGAUUGAAAAAAGAAGACCUGAUUUAUCAUGUGCAAUAUCUCACACAUCUGUCAUUUCUAUUCUACCGCAAUUCGGUGAGUUCAGCCUCUUUUUACUUCAUGUUUGAAUAAUCGCAAUAGAUUUUAUACUGUUCUCACUGCUAAACUUGCUCCCCCUAUUACCCUACAGACACUCAUAUUCAUCUUGCAUAAUACCACCAGAUUAUUCUUUGUCCAUCUAUUUUCCUAGAUAUUUGUCCUCCACUUUCCUGUCUUUUUUUCUGCACUUCAUUCUACCCAUCUUAGUGAAUAGACAUCUUUUCAACUCUCUCAGGCUAUAUAUACAUCAAUUUUUCAAAAUCCAAGUAAAACUUCACGUCCUUGAGAGAAUUUUAGAGAGCGUGUAAUACCUACAUUUUUUUUUACCAUUUAUUAGGAAUAUAUCUCAGCCCCAGUUAUGUGAUUAUUACAUAUUAUAGUAUAUUAAUGUUUGCAAACUCCUUGUAAAAUCAUACACACCCCAUACUGCUAUAUUCAUUUCAAUAGCAAAACAGUUUCUUUUCAAUUUUGUAAUAAAUAUAUUAAGAUCCUGUCCUCCUCCAGGCCAAUUUUCUUCCCCUAUAUUUAAAGUGCUCUGAUGGAGGUAACUUAUUAAUAAUUUGAGCCUAAAACAGCUUUUCAAAUAUGCAUUUCAUUUUUGCACACCAAGCUGGUGUGUGCCUGCAGGCGCUAUUUCUAUUAAGUGAACAGCUGGAUAUUGUGUAGUGGAUUGACCAGGUGUUUGAGUGAACUCAUUAGUCACCAUAUAGAAGCAACUUAAAAGAAUGAGUCACAGUGAUAGUCAUCUCACUUUGGGAAAAGGAAAAGAAAUAAAUAAAAAUGUUUCAUAUCUAUCAGACAGCCACAAAGCACAGUCCCUAUCAACAGGAGCAAAUUCAAAUAAAAAUGGCCCCACCAUACAUAUUUUAUUUGAUUUACAUCUAGCACUGAAGAUAUACUUUAUGAAUUUUUCCUUUAUUCUGACAGUCAUAAAAUAAACGGAGGUGAAUCAUAUAACUUUUGAAUAUCUACAUAGCCAGAGAUAAACUCUGCAUAUUAAAUAUCUUCCAAUAUUACAUCUACCAAAAAACAUAGCAGAGGUCAUAUUUAUGUUGCAACUGAGAAAACACUCAAAUUAUUUAAAGAGAAAAUUUAAAUACUUUACUAAAAUUCACAUUAAAUUCUGAAUUUUACAUGGGUUUAUGUGGCUCUACCAUUCAUACUGUUGAACUUCUGAGUUAUUAAUAUUUACAAAUAACCCAUGUUCUUUCAAAUGAUUCCAAUGCUUACAGAAACACAUAUAAAAGUACAUACAAUGAAAUAAAACUGUGGCAAUGUAGAAAAAUGAAAACUAUAAUAUGACAACGCAAUGAAGCCAGAGUUAAUGUGAGCACAUGAAAUGAAAUCCUAACAUUUUCUCUUCAGCUUUGUCUCUGUGUCUUACUAUGCUAAUGUAGGUAAUAAGCAGUAUUGAUAGCUGGAAGAAGUAAAUUAGCACAUGAAAAGAACCUUGAUUAUUAUUUGUGCAAUUCCUGGAGUCCACUGAUACUUACCAACUCUUAAAGCUUAGAUCUAGGGUAUCCAAACACUGCUUCCUUUCCAAGAAGGAAACAUACAAAAAAACUAAGGCAGCAUGCUCUAAUUCUUUUUUUCUUUUUUUUCUUUUUUAGAUGGAGUCUUGUUCUGUGGUCCAGGCUAGAGGGCAGUGGCAUGAUCUCGGCUCACUACAAGCUCUGCCUCCCGGGUUCACGCCAUUCUCCUGCCUCAGCCUCCUGAGUAGCUGGGACUACAGGCGCCCGCCACCACGCCUGGCUAAUUUUUUGUAUAUUUACUAGAGAUGGCUAGUGUUAGCCAAGAUGGUCUCGAUCUCCUGACCUCGUGAUCUGCCCACCUCAGCCUGCCAAAGUGCUGGGAUUACUGGCGUGAGCCACCGUGCCUGGCCAGCAUCCUCUAAUUAUUAUUCAUAGUUUGUGAAUUUAGGCCUACGUGAAUAAUAAUAUAAUAUUUACUAUGAUGUUACUAUCUACCAACCUUAUUUUUCUUUUCUAUAAAAUAGGAGCCAAAAUAAUAUUUAUGUCAUACCUUAUGAAGUUAAAAUAAAAUAUAACGAAUGAGGGGCUUAACAAUGAGUGUCAUUUUGUAAUUACUUUGUACCAUUAUUAAUUGCUGAGACAGAAUAUGGUAUCACUAGUCAUCUGUAUCUAUUGCACAACUUUAUUUUGAUUCAUUCCUUACUAUUUUGCAUAGAUAGGCCUAAAUUUUUGAUCCACUGCUCAACUCCUGUCUUUAAACCAUUGGUUCUCAAAUAGAGUUGAUUUUGACACCUAGGGAACAUUUGACAACAUAUGGAGAUAUUGUUGAUUUUACAGGGCAACCCUUCAUAAGCACAGAAUUAUCUGGCCCCAAAUGUCGACAGUGUCAAGUUCGAGAAACUCUGCACUAGGCUUUUCUGUCUGGUUACUCACCCCUCUUCUUUGCACUGCCCCCAGUUUUAUGGAUAUUGAAUUCCUGAUUUCUCACUAUAUUAAUUGCACUUAUAGAUAUUCUAAAUUGAUUUGUAUAUAUCUUCCUAGUUUGACCCAUUGCUUUUAACUGAAUUUUACUGGGCUUUUAUAAAGGCCAUUUCCAUGGAGUUUAGUCAUUAUCUUCACCAAAUUUUUAUUUGCUUCAGUCUGGGGAGGAACUCUAUAUUAAAAAAUAAAAACAAACCCAAAAACUAAUUUAUGAAAGACAUUUUAUAAUGUAAUUACUUAAACAUUUUUUUUCUUCUUUCUCAUACGAUCUUUUAAAUUCAGUGAGUGACAUGUGGUUUUCAGGCUGGGUCAGGAAGUUUGCUUGGACGGGGAAAUUCUGUCUGCUGAGACACUAGGGGAGCAAAUGCCUAUGUGGGCACAGGCUGGUCACUGACCUCCUAGGGUUCCCUGACAAUAAAUUAGUCCUAGUUGAGGUCGCCAUCAUCAGAACUUAAUUGGUCCCUGGUACUGGUGAAUCUCUGCACCACAGAGACUAAUCAGUUACAGAACUCAGCUUCUGGGCAUAGGCAACCUUUUCUGUUUUUUCAAUUUUUUGUCAGCAAAGUUGAGAAAAUGAACACACUCAAACAGCCCAUUUCUUAGCUUAUCAAUAUCCGUACCCACUUCUUUCCCUCAUCAACAUGUAUUUUCCAUAUUUUGUUGGUAUUAACCUCUGACACUCAUCCACACAAGAAAGUCUACAAAGCCUAAACUAACUUUUAAACAUUAUUUAAGGUAAUAGCUUUGUCUUCCACCAGAAACCUGGCGACAUUUUUAAAAGGAUUUGAAGAGAUAUAUACCCGAGGGACAGAGAGAAAAAUUAGUGCUGACCAGUCUGGGCCUACUUGACUAACACAAAAUAGAUUAAAUUAAUAAAAACAAGAUGUUCUGCAUUUAUAAACAUGUUAACUCUUUUUAAUGUGUAUGACUCAUUAAUGAGUUCAUAAUUAGAUUUUGAAGGAUUUCAUUCUGGACCUUGCAGAUUGUAUGUAUCUUUCUGGUAAAUUAGGAAGUAUAAUUUUUCAAUAAAAAAGCUCACUGGAAACCCCUGUAACAAGUAAUAAAUAUUUAAAAUUUGCAGAAAUGUUUACUUAUUCAAUAAAUACUGACUCCACAUUAAGAAAUGCUAGAGAUAAAGCAUUUCUAAAGGCAAAUUCUACUGUUUCCUGGUUUUACAUUCUAGAUUUUAAGACAAAGAUGGCUGCCUUGAAAUUUUAGUUAUGUGAAAGAAAUUUCGUAAUGAUAUAACUUUUUCUUACUCUGACUCUGUGAGACUUUUGUUUAUAUUUUAUGAAACUAUUUCUAUAGCACAUGUUAUAUAAAUAUAUUUGAGAAAUCAUUUUUAGCUUUCAGAAAUUAGUUUGCUUAAUACAUUUUAAUUUUAAUAAAGCUCCAUUCCUCUAGUCCUUUCAUAUCUGGAAUAUAUUUCCUAUACAAUAUCUUCUAUAUUAUUUAAUACUGCUGUUUUUUAAAAGAGAAAUUGAAACCUUUUACUCAUAUAUACCAGACUUCCAAAACUGUCUUGGUUUGAAAAUCAGUUCUCCAAAAUACUUUCUCUAACUUAACUUUAUAUCUUAGGUGCAAAUACAAUCCUGAUAAAUACUAUAGUCAGGCAUUUUAAAAACUUUAUGUUUCCCAUAUACUCAGCAGAGUAUCAUCUUCUUGCCCUUUCCCUCACUAUGGUAUCCUUCAAGAACUUAUUAGCUCAAAUUCCAAAUCCUCAAUGAAACAAUCAUCUAUCAAUUUCAUAAUUCACUGUUUUAUUCAAUAAAUAUUUAGUGAAUGAUUUCUGUGUGUCAGGAGUGUAUUGGGAGCUUGGGGACAAAGUGGUGGGCUAGAUAGGCAU